GUUUAGGAAAAGAAGAACGGGACAGUUGGGUUUAGAAGAACGGGACAGUUGGGUUCAGGAAAAGAAGAACGGGACAGUUGGGUUCAGGUAAAGAAGAAUGGGAGAGUUGGGUUCAUGAAAAGAAGAACAUGACAGUUGGAUUCAGGAAAACAAGUAUGGGACAGUUGGGUUUAGGAAAAAAAAGAACGUGACAGUUGGAUUUAGGAAAAG